CCAGCACUGGACUCCAGCUCAUCCCACUCAGUGGUCAGGACUCAACACAGGCUGCUCACCAUGGACUGUGUGCUCAGCUGGGUUUUCCUUGUGGCUGUUUUCAAAGGUGUGCAGUGUGAGGUGCAGCUGGUAGAGUCUGGGGGAGGCCUGGUGCAGCCUGGGGGGUCCCUACGACUCUCCUGUGCAGCCUCUGGUUUCACCUUCAGUAGCUACGACAUGAGCUGGGUCCGCCAGGCUCCAGGGAAGGGGCUGGAGUGGAUCUCACGCAUUAGUGGUAGUAGUGCUACCAUUAACUACGCGGACUCAGUGAAGGGCCGGUUCACCAUCUCCAGAGACAACUCCAAGAACACGCUGUACCUGCAAAUGAGCAGCCUGAGAGCCGAGGACACGGCCACCUAUUACUGUACUACAGACACAGCCCAGGUCAGCAGUGCAGCAGGCUCCAUGACAGGAGAGGUGGCUGUCAGCAUUGAGGAUGGCACGGGGCAGGCGCACCUGGGGACAAGGGUUGAUGGACAGUCCUCCCUGAAAGAAUGA